AUUGAACGCUGGCGGCAUGCCUUACACAUGCAAGUCGAGCGGCAGCGCGGGGGCAACCCUGGCGGCGAGCGGCGAACGGGUGAGUAAUGCAUCGGAACGUGUCCUCUUGUGGGGGAUAACCAGUCGAAAGACUGGCUAAUACCGCAUGAGCACGAGAGUGGAAAGCGGGGGACCGUAAGGCCUCGCGCGAGAGGAGCGGCCGAUGCCGGAUUAGCUAGUUGGCGGGGUAAUGGCCCACCAAGGCGACGAUCCGUAGCUGGUAUGAGAGUACGACCAGCCACACUGGGACUGAGACACGGCCCAGACUCCUACGGGAGGCAGCAGUGGGGAAUUUUGGACAAUGGGGGCAACCCUGAUCCAGCCAUGCCGCGUGUGUGAAGAAGGCCUUCGGGUUGUAAAGCACUUUCGGACGGAACGAAAUCGCGCGGGUGAACAUCCCGCGUGGAUGACGGUACCGUAAGAAGAAGCACCGGCUAACUGCGUGCCAGCCGCCGCCGUAACAC
rnacentral:rRNA from 1 species